CGUCUUGGAUCGUAAUUCUGUG
rnacentral:miRNA from 1 species